ensembl:lncRNA
CCGCGCGGGAGUGGAGAGGUGCGAGCAGCCCGGCCCGGGCCGCACGGGGCCCCCAGCGGCGGGAAUCCCCCCCUCGCUGCCUGCGAGCCCCUGCGCCGCCGGACCAGCCUCCCAGGAGCGGCCCGGGGGCCGCGAUCCGCUCUGACGGCACCGGGGGAGGCUGGGCGCAGGCAGGCGCCCUCCCCUGGGACGCAGCGAGAUGCCCAGAUAAGUCCCUGCGCGUCGCCCCAGCCUCUCCAGAUGCCUGGAGAAGAGGGAGACAUGAGGUUGCCUGUGGGGGAAGUUGCCUUUAAAUGGGAGAAACUCCUCCAGCCGGAUGCUUCGAAGGCUGCGUCUGUCACCCCGGAGAAGAUAGGAGCCAGGCCCUCCCGGCUUUGCCACCUCUGCUUCCUUAAUAGGGACAGCCCCAAUUCCUGUCUCGAAAUUCCUACCAUGUUACACCCUCCGGCUCUCCAAAAAGCGCUUCCAGUCCCAUGGGGUUAGGGGCGUUAGAAACAAAAAACCAGCAGUUGCUGAUAGUUGAGGAGUAAAGGCAUGUCCGGACAGCCCAGGCAGGAUUUAAAAUACAAGGUUUCUGCUACCCUGGCUGCAUACUCGCUAUCAAAUUCCCCCAAGGGAGAGAAAGCAAGCAAACGCCUUAGAGUUAUCUACGAAAUUCACAAAAAGUCACUUCUUUGUAAAUUAUUAUGUGCCAGGAAAACAUCAAGAGAAAUAGUCUCAAGAACACAGGCAAAGGAAUCUGGGAGAAGGAAUAUGGGUCUUCAAAACAAAUGCUGUAGUGCUAUAGGCAGUAAAUCUCAUUAACGGGACUUUGUGUCAAGGCAGAAACCAGUAUAGUGACAAUAAUAAUCCCAUUUAUUUACAUAGCGCCAAAUAUAUCGUUGCCACUUUCCGAUAAAACAAAGGCAGAUUCCUCAAUGGCAGAGGGCGGAUCGAAGGACCCAAUCAGUUUCUUCCAUCCCUAACUUCUGUGAAUCUCAGAUAAAUAUACCACUUUGGAGAGAGGGGAGUGGGGGAAUCUCCGAUCUCCAUUAGACACUCAGCUCCAAGUUAGAGACAACAAGCGUUUCCCCUUCAGGCCCCAGAGGAAGGAAAUCAAUGCAUCUGCAGAGAAAGAAGAAGCCAUUGAGUUGUUUUGAAUGAAAAUGUGAUUGGGUUGUGGGGUUUUUUAGAGGAUUGAUCUAAAAGGAGAGUGAGGAGACAAGAAAGGGAGACAGAAGACAUUGGCCUGCUGCUGUCUGACUGGCAGAUUCCAGUUAACACCUUAUCAGCAGAGCAGCAGGCAGCAGCAAAUCCUCGCCCGCUGAAGCUACACAGCGAAAGGAAGAGGGGAGGGUGUUCUGUAACCAGGGACGACAACAGCAACACUCCACAGAGCUACCGGGAGGAUAGAGAGAGAGACACACACACAAUAACCUUCCUUCCCAGGCUGUGCAAGCAAGGGCAGGGGAGGAAAAACAAAUCCACCUGCAGUGUUUCAUUUUUUAUGAAGAGAAACCAUGACUGAAAUGUAACCACAGCUCUGGUCGCUGUAAAAAAACCGAACCCCAAAGCCCUCUCCCCAAGUGUAAUGUAGCAAUUCUGUUGGUUAGCGUUAUUCUUCAAUUGAAGAGUGGGGUAAACUCCUCCAGGACUGAAAUCCCAUCUCCCAGAAGGUGGGAGCACCACUAAAACAAAAGCAAUUCUUCCCUCUCCCCCUUACUCCAUUGCUGCUGCUGCUUUUGUGUUUUUUAAAGAAACAUUGUUCUAGGAAGGAGAGGAGAUUGGAAGAAGAACCCGAGGUGAUUUUGAAUUGUUUUUAAAG